AGAGGUUUAAGGAGGGGAGGGAGAGAGGGAGAGGGAGGAAGGGAAAAGUGCGGGGGAGAGGGAGAGAGAGAGCUGUUCCUGGGCCGCCAGUCUCCCCUGGGGCAGCAGGACAUUUAGGAGAGGGCUCCCAAAAGCAAGCUCCUCCCAGUCACCUCACUGCUCCAUCAAUUGGACUCUGCCACCAAACUGAACUGACCACACUGUACCCAGAGCGGGCUCCCGGUUCAGUCUCAGUGGCACCAGCUAGCGGAUGGAGCAUGGGCAGGGGGUGGCGAGGAGAGGGUGCAACUGUAAUGCAGCCAAGGUUUCUUUUCAUAUACUUAAGCAGUAAAUCCUUUCAUUCUGCCGUGAGGACCAUUUAGUUCAGAAUAAAUACAGCUGAUCAGAAAAGGCAAAAAGAACAGCUAAGGGGUUUAAAGGGUCUUGGCAAGUGGUACUGAGAUUUAAUAAGCUACCAAAGGGCCAGAACAGCGACAGACACCGCCACCCUGGGGCACAGAUGGCAGACAAGGGGAGAGGGCAAAGAGCUAUUGGGGAAUCUGCACUUGUGAGGGUCAAAACCCACACUCAUCUUGUGCUGCCGCCCUGCUCCUCCUUGCAUCCAUGUUCACAGGUUGCCCACCCAACGGUUUUCCUGUCUCUAGUCCCUCCCACUGAGGACCCACCUCACAGGAAGAAAACCGUCUGACUCAUAAAGGGAUCCGACCAAGGCUAUGUUCAUCCUCUGCUCAGCACCUCAUCUGAGCCAGGACAAGAAGAGAAGGAAACGAGCGUUUGCUGGGCUCCAUCACAUGCCAGGUGGGUCUUAUUAUUUCCAUUCUACACGUGAAGAGUCUGAGGCUCAGAGGUCAGCCUGCCAAAGUCACACACACAGCUGGGGAGCUUGCUGGACUCCACAGGCCACACAUCUUCCAUGAGAGCACACUGCCUCUUUGAAAAUAAAGCUGCAGAGCAAAAACACUAACAUUUUACCUCCUA
rnacentral:lncRNA from 1 species